UUGCUCCUUUGACAUUAGCGGCGGACGGGUGAGUAACACGUGGGUAACCUACCUAUAAGACUGGGAUAACUUCGGGAAACCGGAGCUAAUACCGGAUAACAUUUGGAACCGCAUGGUUCUAAAGUGAAAGAUGGUUUUGCUAUCACUUAUAGAUGGACCCGCGCCGUAUUAGCUAGUUGGUAAGGUAACGGCUUACCAAGGCGACGAUACGUAGCCGACCUGAGAGGGUGAUCGGCCACACUGGAACUGAGACACGGUCCAGACUCCUACGGGAGGCAGCAGUAGGGAAUCUUCCGCAAUGGGCGAAAGCCUGACGGAGCAACGCCGCGUGAGUGAUGAAGGGUUUCGGCUCGUUAAACUCUGUUAUUAGGGAAGAACCAACUUGUAAUUAACUGUGUAUGUCUUGACGGGACGUAAUCG
rnacentral:rRNA from 1 species